rnacentral:rRNA from 1 species
AUGAAUUAAGUAUUAAGUAUAUAUCAUUUACAAUGAUAAGGUCUAUUAAAUAGAAUUCAUUAUAUUAUACUGUAUGAAAUAUUAUUUUGUUAUAUACCUUUUGCAUAAUGGUUUAAUAAUAAAAAUAAAAUUUAAUUACCCGAAAUUAGAAGAUCUAAUUUUUUUAGAAAAAUUAAAUAAUGUUUCAAAAUUAUUAUUUAGUAAAAAUUAGGGGUGAAAGGCCUAACAAUUCUAAUGAUAUCUGGAAUAGUUUUAAAUGUAUUUAGUGCAAAAUAAAUUUUGAAUAAAAAAAUGUUAAUUUUUUUAUAAAGAAUUAAAAUGAUUUAAUUUAAGGAUUAAUCUUCAAUUAAAAAUAAAAAAAUUUUUUAUUAAUAAAUCUUUAUAAUAAAAUUAUAUUAAAUAUUACUAAAAAAUUAAUUAUGUUAAAAUAAGUAUAAAUAUUAUUAUUUAUUUAAGGAACUCGGCUUUCAUCUGUUUAUCAAAAACAUAGUCUUAUGAAUAUAUUAGGUGAAACCUGCCCAUUGAUUUUUAACGGCCGCAGUACUUUGACUGUGCUAAGGUAGCAUAAUAAAUUGACUCUUAAUUGGGGCCUUGAAUGAAAGGAUUAAUGGAUAAUUUCUGUCUUAUAUAAAUAAGUUUUAAAUUACUUAAAGGGUGAAAAUUCCUUUAAUAUAAUAAAA